AUUUUUCUUUUAAAAUUAAAGAUCAUGAAAACUUUUUAAAUUUAAUUUUUAUUUUCUUUUAUUUUAAAAAUUUAUUUAUAUAUAAUAUACAAUAUAACUAUUAAAUUAAACUAAAAUUAUGUUUAAAAACUAUUAUAAAAAUUUUCAAAUAAAAUAAGUACCACAAAUGAACAUUUGUUUAAAGGAAAUUUACUGUACACAGUAUAGUACCUUUCUCAGAGUUAGUCUUUCAUCAUCACCUCAUUAUAUGAAAUCAGUUCAGUAGAAGCCACCAGAGGGUACCCCCAGUGCUGUCUUCCACUUGUGUCUUACUUAAGGUGUCCUGGACACAAGGUGACAAUAGAAAAUAGACUUCUCAGCAGCUGGGCAGUCAUGGCUCAUGCCUUUAAUCUCAGCACUUGGGAGGCAGAGGCAGAGGCAGAUGCAGGCAGAUUUCUGAGUUCAAGGCCAGCCUAGUCUAUAGAGUGAGUUCCAGGAAAUCCAGGGCUACACAGAGAAACCCUGUCUGGAAAAGAAAAGAGAAAAAGAAAAGAAAAGAAAAGAAAAUAGACUUCUCUAGGAAUACUGCAUCCUUUUAGACAAGUUCAACAGGAAAAAAACAUAAACUUUAACAAAGAGAAAAUGAAACAGUGGGAAUGAGUCAUUUAGUACUGUGGAAGAAAAAUAGAAAUAGGGAUCUUGUUGGAAACAAUAGACUGUGGUUCUCACACCUACUACCCACCAACAGUCUCUUUUACCACAUCCACAACCUGUGAACUCCCCUAUACCUAUGUGUAGAGUGAGGCCAUGACAUGUCACUAAUACACCAGCUGCUGGUCUAUGUCUUACACGUGAAAAUCAUGAGAAAGAGAUUUCUUUAAAAUAGCAUCCUCAGGAAGAACUGAAAUGACCAGACCUCACACCACUACUACCAUCAAUAAUGGGCCUGUUCUCCACUAGCAGUCACCAUGGCCCUUCCUGCUUCCUGCCUGCACCUGUGUGAUAUCAGAAGAAUCAAAUGCACGGUGCCACAAUUGCUGAUUCGUGUUUAGUAUCCUGACACUACAGAACUGGACAACAGAGAUUGGAAUCACCUCAAAGAACUACUUCUAAGCAGGUCCACAUCCCGUUGUUCUCUUUAUCAUUAUAUAUUCCCUACCUUUGGAUGAUGGGCUAGUAGGGAGGUUGAAGCAUUAGAGAACCCCUAUUAAAGUAGGUUUUGGAAAAUCUAAGUCUAAUAGUGAGAAGCCAAAUCUUUUAAGUUCAGACACCAUUUUAGAGAACUUGAAUUCAGGUAAGACUACUAUUUAGCCUUAGUUUUCCAGUUUUUUCCCCACCCCAACAAAUCCAGAGCUUUGUCCCAGUUUCUAGGUUAACCCCAACAGACAAGCAUCCCCAGAUUAAUCUCUCCCAAUAUUUCCAGGUUAAUUCCUAACAAGCCUACCCCCUGCCUAAUGACCACCAAUGCAGAAAUUUAGGGUUUGACUCCCAGCACCAACUAAUAUUGCUUGCCAGGCUAGAAAUGCCCAUUCCCCACAUGUUGUUUUCUAUAAAACCUUACCUUGAUAGAUAUUGGGCGCACCUCUCCACCAAAACUGUCCUACAUGCUGGCUGUGGGCUGAGGGGCCCAAGCUAGCUCAAAUAAAGGCCUGUUGUGAUGUGUAUCAGAUAGAUUCCUGUCUAGUUUUGGGGGUUCACUAACACUUCUCUUGGCACUACACAAGGAUCUAUGACCUCUCUACCCACAGGUGGUUGGCUAGAUUUAUAGUACCAGGCACAAUGCACUCCUGUUGAGCAGUCUAAUUAGAUAGCUACUGGGUACCACCAAGAUAAUAGUACCACUUAUUAAUUGUUGGGAUGUCUUUCCACACUGGUCAUUGCUAUGGCUCCAGGCUUGUAGGAAUUAGAUUGCCCUUCUCCCUUCAUUAUUUUUAUAUCAUCUUCUGAUUCUAUAAGGGCUAGUCCUCAGGGAGGAAGUUGUCACAUCAGUUCUAACUUGAUUUCUCCAAAUUGUAUGUCUAUAGUUUGUGAUUUCUUUAUAAUACAGGGUCUUACCUGUUGUGGAUUUGGUCUUGAGAAGGCUAGGAUGAAUCUAUGCCAAAUUUCGAAUUGGCAGUUAAGGAGACUAAAUCAAUUACUAAUUGAAAACAAAAACAAAAACCCGGCUCCAACUUCACCUCCUGGUAAUAGUUCCUGAAUGCCUAGAGAUAGAGUGACAUAAAGCUCAUCUACCCCAGAAUCCCAAUUGCUUUAAAUUGAGCCUGCAGCUCACUUGCUUGUCUCUCUAUCUCAGUAAUGGGAGACCCCAGCAUGCUGGAUUUCUGAAGAAUAAAGCACUCUUUGCAUGUAUAUACUGUUUGAGUCCCAGGUAUAAUUCACCAGUGAAUCUUAAGCCUUUACAUCUAGGGGCUCAUCCAGAAUUCACUGGAGACCCUCUGACCAAGUAGUAGAGUGUUUUUCCAGUCAUUAUGUCCAGUCUCCUGGUUGCCUUUUGUCUUAUCCAUACCUGUGUUUCUGUUUCAGGGUUAACUUUGGGUUUAAUCUGGAGGCCAAGAAGGACAAAACAAAUGCAUAUUUUGUUACCUGGCCAGGGGCAAUAGAAGAUUUACCCAAACCCCUACCAAAAGCUGUAGAACUUGCUAGUUCUCAUCUGGAUUCUGAACUACCUGUGGGUCUAUGGGCCACUCAUGCAUAGAGAGGGAGACCUUCUGAGGCAGCCUUUUGGUUUGUUUUUGUUUUCCUGGGAAUAUCC
rnacentral:lncRNA from 1 species